rnacentral:rRNA from 1 species
AACGAACGCUGGCGGCAUGCCUAACACAUGCAAGUCGAACGGGAUCCUGGCUUCGGUCAGGUGAGAGUGGCGGACGGGUGAGUAACGCGUGGGAACCUGCCCAGUGGUGGGGGAUAACUGCGGGAAACUGCAGCUAAUACCGCAUGAGCCCGAGAGGGGAAAGAUUUAUCGCCAUUGGAGGGGCCCGCGUUCGAUUAGGUAGUUGGUGAGGUAACGGCUCACCAAGCCGACGAUCGAUAGCUGGUCUGAGAGGAUGAUCAGCCACACUGGGACUGAGAUACGGCCCAGACUCCUACGGGAGGCAGCAGUGGGGGAAUAUUGGACAAUGGGGGGCAACCCUGAUCCAGCAAUGCCGCGUGAGUGAUGAAGGCCUUCGGGUUGUAAAGCUCUUUUGUCCGGGGACGAUGAUGACGGUACCCGGAGAAUAAGCCCCGGCUAACCUUCGUGCCAGCAGCCGCGGUAAU